rnacentral:rRNA from 1 species
GACGAACGCUGGCGGCGUGCUUAACACAUGCAAGUCGAACGGAAAGGCCCUGCUUUUGUGGGUUGCUCGAGUGGCGAACGGGUGAGUAACACGUGAGUAACCUUCCCUUUACUUUGGGAUACCUUCAGGAAACUGGGGCUAAUACCGGAUAGGAUCUCCUGCUGCAUGGUGUGGGUUGGAUUGUUUCGGCGGUUGGGGAUGGACUCGAGGCUUAUCAGCUUGUUGGUGGGGUAGUGGCUUACCAAGGCUUUGACGGGUAGCCGGCCUGAGAGGGUGACCGGCCACAUUGGGACUGAGAUACGGCCCAGACUCCUACGGGAGGCAGCAGUGGGGAAUAUUGCACAAUGGGCGGAAGCCUGAUGCAGAAACGCCGCGUGCGGGAUGACGGCCUUCGGGUUGUAAACCGCUUUCGCAUGUGACGAAGCGUGAGUGACGGUAAUGGGUAAAGAAGCACCGGCUAACUACGUG